AGUGAACGCUGGCGGUAGGCCUAACACAUGCAAGUCGAACGGCAGCACAGUAAGAGCUUGCUCUUACGGGUGGCGAGUGGCGGACGGGUGAGGAAUACAUCGGAAUCUACUUUUUCGUGGGGGAUAACGUAGGGAAACUUACGCUAAUACCGCAUACGACCUACGGGUGAAAGCAGGGGAUCUUCGGACCUUGCGCGAUUGAAUGAGCCGAUGUCGGAUUAGCUAGUUGGCGGGGUAAAGGCCCACCAAGGCGACGAUCCGUAGCUGGUCUGAGAGGAUGAUCAGCCACACUGGAACUGAGACACGGUCCAGACUCCUACGGGAGGCAGCAGUGGGGAAUAUUGGACAAUGGGCGCAAGCCUGAUCCAGCCAUACCGCGUGGGUGAAGAAGGCCUUCGGGUUGUAAAGCCCUUUUGUUGGGAAAGAAAAGCAGCAGGUUAAGACCCCGCUGUUCUGACGGUACCCAAAGAAUAAGCACCGGCUAACUGCGG
rnacentral:rRNA from 1 species